rnacentral:lncRNA from 1 species
GGUGUUGAUCAGAAAACACUCACUGAGGUGGUAAGGGAGAAGAGCCUUGAAACCCUAAGUAAACUUGGAGGCGUGAAACAGAUUGCUGCAAGUCUUGAAACUGAUAAGAAAGAUGGUAUCAGUGCUAAUGAAGCUGAUCUUGCACAUCGGGUCGAUGUAUUCGGUGCCAACAGGUAUCAGAAACCACCUAAAAAAAGCUUUUUUAGCUUUGUUUAUGAAGCUUUCAAAGAUACCACCAUUAUCAUACUCUUGGUUUGUGCUGUUCUCUCUCUGGGCUUUGGCAUCAAACAGCAUGGCAUAACGGAUGGAGGGUACGAUGGUGGGAGUAUUGUCAUUGCUGUCUUUCUAGUUGUUGCUGUAUCUGCUGUCAGUAACUUUAAGCAAAACAGACAAUUCGAGAAACUUUCAAAGGAGAGUAGUGAUAUAAAAGUGGAAGUAGUGAGAGAUGGGCGCCGCCAAUUUAUAUCAGUCUUUGAAGUUGUCGUGGGUGAUGUCGUGUGCUUGAAAAUUGGUGAUCAAAUUCCAGCGGAUGGAUUGUUCUUGGAUGGACACUCUUUGAAGGUGGAUGAAUCUAGCAUGACCGGUGAAAGCGACCAUGUUGAGAUCAAUGGCAGCAACAAUCCUUUUGUUCUUUCUGGUACAAAGGUCACAAAUGGGUUCGGUUCAAUGCUUGUUACUUCUGUUGGCAUGAAUACGGCAUGGGGGGAGAUGAUGAGUUCCAUAAACCGUGAGUUAGAUGAAGAAACUCCAUUACAGGCUCGCCUCAACAAGCUGACUUCUGCAAUUGGGAAGAUUGGAUUGGCAGUGGCUGUACUAGUUCUUGCAGUGCUGCUUAUUCGUUACUUCACUGGAAACACAAAAGAUGACCAGGGAAACAAAGAAUAUAUUCGAGGCAAGACAAAGUUUGACAGCAUGAUGAACUCAGUCGUGGAGAUAAUUUCAGCAGCAAUUACCAUCGUGGUCGUUGCAAUUCCAGAAGGUCUUCCUUUGGCAGUGACCCUAACUUUGGCCUAUUCUAUGAAGCAAAUGAUGGCUGAGCAUGCAAUGGUCAGAAAACUUUCAGCUUGCGAGACGAUGGGUUCAGCCACAACAAUCUGCACAGAUAAGACAGGUACCCUUACUUUAAAUGAAAUGAAGGUUAUGGAGUUUUGGCUAGGGAAAGAAUUAAUGGGCAGUAUUUCCUCAGAAAUAGCACCUAAUGUCCAUAAGUUACUGCAACAAGCGGUUGCUCUCAACACAACCGGUACUGUUUAUAAGCCAAACUCUAGAUCACUUCCUGAAAUUUCUGGUAGUCCAACUGAGAAAGCAAUUCUCUCUUGGGCUGUCUCAGAUUUGGGGAUGAACCUAGAUGACCCAAAGCAAAACUACGAACUCAUCCAAGUAGAGGCCUUCAAUUCAGAGAAGAAGAGGAGUGGAGUUCUGAUAAGGAGGAAGAGUGAGAGUGGCGGUGCUACACAGGUGCACUGGAAGGGUGCUGCUGAGAUGAUCUUGGCCAUGUGCUCACAAUAUUAUGAUAGAAGUGGUGUAGUUAAAGCCAUUGACGAGGAAGAAAGAGUAGAGAUGGGGAAAGUUAUUGAGGAUAUGGCAGCCAAAAGCUUGAGGUGCAUAGCAUUUGCACACACACAAAAUCCAAAAGACAAUGAACGAGUUUUGCAAGAAAGUGGACUCAUCUUGCUAGGGCUGGUAGGUUUGAAAGACCCAUGUCGUCCUGGUGUCAGAAAAGCAGUAGAAGCUUGCAUAAAUGCUGGAGUAAACAUCAAGAUUAUAACUGGAGACAAUAUCUUCACAGCAAAGGCUAUAGCAACUGAAUGUGGCAUUUUGCAACCCAAUGAGGAUUUGAGGGAAGCUGUAAUAGAAGGUGUACAGUUCCGAAAUUACUCACCAGAAGAAAGAAUGGCUAAGAUCAACAAAAUUUGUGUAAUGGCCAGAUCCUCACCUUUUGACAAACUUCUGAUGGUACAGUGUCUAAAGCAGAAUGGUCAUGUUGUAGCAGUUACUGGGGACGGCACCAAUGAUGCACCAGCUUUAAAGGAAGCAGAUAUUGGACUUUCGAUGGGAAUCCAAGGAACAGAAGUUGCCAAGGAAAGCUCAGACAUAAUCAUUUUGGAUGAUAACUUUACUUCUGUGGUGACUGUUUUAAGGUGGGGUAGGUGUGUCUUCAAUAACAUUCAGAAAUUCAUUCAGUUUCAGCUUACAGUGAAUAUAGCAGCACUAGUCAUCAACUUCAUUGCUGCAGUAUCUUCUGGUGAAAUCCCAUUGACAGCAGUCCAACUAUUGUGGGUGAACUUAAUAAUGGAUACGUUUGGGGCUUUAGCUUUGGCCACUGAGCGACCUACCAAUGAUCUCAUGACAAAGCCACCUGUGGGUCGAUCCAAGCCCCUCAUAUCCAACAUCAUGUGGAGGAACCUCAUUGCUCAAGCCUUGUAUCAGGUUGCAGUUCUGCUAACCCUUCAGUUCAGGGGAAAAUUUAUCUUUGAUGUGGAUAAAAAGGUCAAGAACACACUUAUUUUCAACACUUUUGUCCUCUGCCAAGUGUUUAAUGAGUUCAAUGCCAGAAAACUUGAAAAGAAGAAUAUAUUCCAGGGACUACACAAGAACAAACUCUUUCUAGGGAUCAUUGCCAUAACCAUAAUUCUUCAAGUGGUAAUGGUGGAAUUCUUGAAGAGGUUUGCUAACACUCAGAGGCUGAACUGGGGGCAAUGGGGUACUUGUAUUGGAAUUGCAGCUUUGUCCUGGCCACUUGGCUGGCUAGUUAAGUGGAUUCCAGCAUGAAAAAAAUCCUCUUCUCGGUCACAAGGCUUUUGCAUCCAAAAGAAAUACCAGUUAGCUCCAAUGAGAUGCUCCUUUUCAUUUAUAUAGAACCUUAGGAAUAUCAGUAUAUAACCUUGGUACUAUUUCUUUUAUUAUUCUAAUGCAGUAUUUUAAUUUCCUUCUGUUCACUAUUUAUCUCGGUUCUAGUUCAUUUUAAGUGUUGAAUUUGUAAGCUUCUAUGUGAACAAUGAAGAUAUGUUGUUUAUGCAUGCAUUAAUUUCACUAUAACAUGUUUAGCACCACUUAAAUCCUCUGCAUGUGCAAAUAAAUUACAUAUGUCGUCAGCUUCUAAUGGAUAACACUGUUGGCAAUGCAGGCUAGGCCUCAGAUUCUACCACUUAAUACUAGACGAUACAACAUUAAGCUCUUUGCUCUUUCUAGGGGAUGUACACAAUAAUGAGAUGACUUCCCUCGUGAUCUAAUAAUCUCUUUUAAGAACAAUCUAAGUCUACCAUAACUUUAUAAUGACCAGUUCACAAGCAUAGACAGUCUGCCAUAUUGUAAUUUCAUAUAAUCAGUACAUAACACAAUCAGUCAAUAGGAAUAUUUAAUUAGAUGUUUCAUCGUUCUACUUAAAAUUUUCUACCUUAAAGAGAAGAAAGCCCUUUUAAAUGAUUUUGCACUCAAAUCAUCAGUAGAAGGUGACUAAUAAAAUUCAACAAGUAGUCAAUUAGAAAGCAAAUUAUCCACAACAACUCAUGGUGUUAGGCAUUUCUAGCAUUGAAAGACAAGAAAGAACUAUAAGAAGCUUAAAAUCAUAGCUUAAAAUCAUCAUCCUCAUACAAACUCUAGCUAUCUCAACAGCAACAUAUGGAACCUCACUCCUAAUGCAUUGAUUGGUUACUAGUGUAAAAACACGAGGAAAAAAACUUAAUUAUUACAUAUGUAUUACAAUAGUUAGCCAUAAAAUAAGGAAUAGGUGGUACAAAUUUAAACAUAAAAUUAGAAAAAUGAGUAAUAACUCUUGAAAAAAUAAGACCUCUUCAAAAUAAACGAACAAUUUUCCUUCUCUUUGCUAAAAGUAAGUCAUGGGACUGACUAAAUAUUACCAAUUGAAUUAGUUUAUUGCCAACACAUAAAUUAAAACAUGUGUAAAAAAUAAUACUCCUAUCAUACAUAGCAUAAGUUUCAUAAAGUGCAUGACCUAUUUAUAAUCAGUGUGAAUGCAUAAUUUCCACUGUUCAUUGGUGCAAGAAUGUCAACAAUGAGAGGCAACUCAUUGAUCAGUCCAUAACAUUUUAAGGCUUCCAUCUCUCACUUGUACUACAUCUUUCCCACACAUCCCAACAUAGCAUAACUUUCAAAGAAUUUGUUGACGUAAAAGAUGCAAUGUAAAUUUGCUACAAUCUAAACAAUAGAGCCAGAAGUUUUAUCAGCCACCUUAUACUCAUGCUCUCUUAAGUGGAAACACAAUCAUUGGUGUCCUAAGUUGUUGGUAUAAUAUAUAUAUAUAUUUGGGGUCCAUUAUUCACACAAAAAAACAAAAACAAAAAAACAAGUUUGGCAAAUUAUCAUCACAUAUUUGCUUCCUCCAAUGUUGCAAAAUUGUGAUAUGACAAUUUCAACUCCAGCCACUAUAUUGGAGCUUGCACAAGUAUACUGUCAUAGUAUGACUCAAGUAUUUUAACACCCCUCAUCAAAAAAGUGCUGCCUACUUCCUACUCCUCAACUAAACUAUUUUCAAUUAAAAAUAACUAGAAACUGCAAGUAACAUACAUAACAGGUCAUCUAAAACGAUCUAGCUUAAUGUCACUAUUUAAGUCUAUGUUUCUUCAACUCUUCAUUUUGCUUGAAGUACUUGUUCCAACACAUAGUCAUACACAGGUACGGGCAUAUGACUACCCACAGACCCUCCAAAAACAUGGAGAAACUUAAAAAAAGAAUUCGGACAAAAUACCCGUAUCUGGUACUCGCACCAAAUUCCAGUAAAAUAGAUCAAUGUAAUCAGUUAUUGCGCUGGAUGAAUCUGAUAUCAUACAACAUAAUAAAGUAGCCCAAGGAAACAACUGAUUAUUCUUGCCAGGUGCCACCAAUAUUUUCCUACCAGAGGUAAUCAUUUUGAUUACUUCCAUGGAAAACUUUCUCAAACAAAACUUCUUAAUGAUACAAUCCAAAGAGAUAAUGGGUUAUCUAAUCCCAUUUUUUAUUAUUUCUGGCUUUUUUAGUACAAAUUAAACCACCAAGAAAAAAAAAAAACUUUGCAACACUUCCAAUUGUAAUAAUCUAUAUAGCAAAACAGCAUCAAGGCACACAGAGCAAGUGGGAUAAUAAAUUAUUUGGAAUUCAUUAUUUUAUAGAAUUAACUAUAUAAACAAUCUUGACUAUAUUAUAAAGUAUGCAAAGACAGAAACUUGAUCCAGCGUAGCAGAUCAAAAUCCAAUGAUUAAAGUGAAAAAAAAAAAUCAUAUUUUACCACUGAGAUUACUAUUUUAAUGAUAAAUAGAAAGUCACCCCCAUUAAACAAGGAAGCAUCUUAAUGAAGAAAACUUGAAAUGGGUCAUUAAAAGACAUCAAAUUUCAAUUAAAAAAAAAACCUAGGAUGCAACAGCCGAAAUAUGUAGGAAUAGUGGUUGAAGGACAAUUCAAUAAAAUAUGGGUCCCAAAUCCAAAUAAAUAGGAGACAGAGAGAGUUUUGAAAGUGGGGACUGACCUUGACGAGACACUGCAGACAUUGUAUUGCAAAAAUUCAUCUCCGUGAAUUGAAUUGAAGAUUACCCUUUUGACGAAGGCCCCAAAGGAGUUAUUUACACAACUAACAUGUGUUAUGAUUUUUUUAAAAAUUAAAACAAACACACACAAUUUUAGUUUGUGGAAACUGGAAAUUUUAAGUUUGAAUGUAUUGUUU